AUUAAAGGGAAAAACGCAACUUUUUUCAGACUACUGAUAACUCUGACUGGAGCAAAACCUGAGGAAUAUGUUUUUUUUCUAUGUUCCACACGGCAUUUGACAAUUCGGAGAAGCUGAGGAAAGAGAGGGCUUUUUUGUUUGUUUUUUUUUCCAACAGGGUAGAGAAACCUGGCUGUCCUGGAACUCACGCUGUAGACCAGGAUGGCCUCGAACUCAGUAAUCCACCUGCCUCUGCCUCCCAAGUGCUGGGAUUAAAGGCGUGCGCCACCACUGCCCAGCGAAAAGGGCUUCUUUGGUUUGGUUUGAUUUUUGUUUUGUUUUUUUUGUUAACCAUGGAUAUGGAUGACGAAAACGGUCAGAUGAGCAAUGAACAAUUCAAUAUACGCUGACCUUUAUACUCAAAAUGGUUAAGAUGAUAAAUUUUAUUAUGUAUGAUUUGCCACAGUUAAAAUCGAAAAUUCUCCCCCCCCCACACACACUUUUCUGCUGAAAUAAUUUAGAUGUCUGUUUUUCUGAAUUUCUCACACUAUAUGAAUGAGAUGGCCAGAUUUAACAAAUAUACAGGUACCCAUUAAUGUUUUAAUUUCAGAUGCUCAAUCAAAUAAUACACAGGAAAUACAAGUAUAUUACUUGGCCAUCCUACACAUGGGUGGAGGGUAAACUGAUAGGAAAGUGCCUUAUACUUGAAAAGAACGUGCAUUGAUUUUACUAGCUAUGUGCCUGUAAAUGAAAGAGUCUUUGAGAUUUUCUUUAGAAGGGGAAAAAAAAUCUAGAUCUUCAUUUCCUGAUAGUAUAUCAUCAAUGACAGGUCAGAAUAUCAUACCCAAAAUAUUCCAUUUGGGCAUAAAAGACAACACUGCGUUAAAGGCAGCAGAAAACUAGUGUGCACAAGAUGGUCCUCUUUUGUGUCUAAGCAGAAUAGAGAUUUGCCUUUAUAGAAGUAGGGGGAGAGCCUGCUGGGCGAGGCCUGCAACCCCAUCUCCUUGGGAGGUUGAGACAAGGAUCACAAGUUGAAGACCUGCCUAAGGUGCAGAUCCCUGAGUCUGAGAACAGCUUGGGAAACGUAAUGAAACUGUCUCAAGAAGUUUAAAAAAAAAGGAGGGAGUCUUAGUGUAUAGUGUUGACCUAGCAUGUGUUAGGUCCAUGAUUAUUUGAAUCAGAAGCACCCACCCCACCAACUAAAAAGACUUGAAACAAUACUAAAAUAUAUAUAUAUAUAUAUAUAUAUAUAUAUAUAUGAUAAACUGUAGCAAUCAACUCUAAUCUACCACACAUUUCCUCAUUGCUGCCCCACUGUACUGCCUGUGGAUCAAAACCUGUUUAAACUAGUCACCUCUAUACAAUGCAUGGCUGCUGUUAAAACAGGAAAUGUCCCUGAAAGAACAAUGGCUUCUUUUGGUUUUCAUUUCUUUUCUGUGAAGCCCCAUACACAUAAAAACAUGAAUAAAUAUCUUUUUCUGUC
rnacentral:lncRNA from 1 species